rfam:Myotis davidii contig136619, whole genome shotgun sequence.
GCCAGGAUGGCUCAGUGGUUGAGCGCUGACCUAUGAACCAGGAGGUCAUGGUUCGAUUCCUGGUCAGGGCA